rnacentral:rRNA from 1 species
UGGGGAAUAUUGCACAAUGGGCGGAAGCCUGAUGCAGCGACGCCGCGUGAGGGAUGACGGCCUUCGGGUUGUAAACCUCUUCAGCAGGACGAAGCGGGAGUGACGGUACCUGCAGAAGAAGCGCCGGCCAACUACGUGCCAGCAGCCGCGGUAAGACGUAGGGCGCGAGCGUUGUCCGGAUUUAUUGGGCGUAAAGAGCUCGUAGGCGGCUUGUCGCGUCGAAUGUGAAAACCCACAGCUCAACUGUGGGCUUGCAUUCGAUACGGGCAGGCUCGAGUUCGGUAGGGGAGACUGGAAUUCCUGGUGUAGCGGUGAAAUGCGCAGAUAUCAGGAGGAACACCGGUGGCGAAGGCGGGUCUCUGGGCCGUAACUGACGCUGAGGAGCGAAAGCGUGGGGAGCGAAACAGGAUUAGAUACC